rnacentral:rRNA from 1 species
UACGUAGGGUGCAAGCGUUUAAUCGGAAUUACUGGGCGUAAAGCGUGCGUAGACGGUUAUUUAAGUCGGAUGUGAAAGCCCCGGGCUCAACCUGGGAAUUGCAUUCGAGACUGAAUAGCUAGGGUACGGUAGAGGGAAGUGGAAUUUCCGGUGUAGCGGUGAAAUGCGUAGAUAUCGGAAGGAACAUCAGUGGCGAAAGCGACUUCCUGGACCAGUACCGACGUUCAGGCACGAAAGCGUGGGGAGCAAACAGG